UACGAAGGGGGCUAGCGUUGCUCGGAAUCACUGGGCGUAAAGGGUGCGUAGGCGGAUUUGUAAGUCAGGGGUGAAAUCCCGGGGCUCAACCUCGGAACUGCCUUUGAUACUGCAAAUCUCGAGUCCGAUAGAGGUGGGUGGAAUUCCUAGUGUAGAGGUGAAAUUCGUAGAUAUUAGGAAGAACACCGGUGGCGAAGGCGGCCCACUGGAUCGGUACUGACGCUGAGGUGCGAAGCGUGGGGAGCAAACAGG
rnacentral:rRNA from 1 species